GACGAACGCUGGCGGCGUGCUUAACACAUGCAAGUCGAGCGGUAAGGCCCUUUCGGGGUACGACGAGCGGCGAACGGGUGAGUAACACGUGGGUGGACCUCGCCCUUACGUCUCUGGGAGUAAGCCUCGGGAAACGUAGGGUCGUAAUAACCGGAUAUGACUCCAUGACGCAUGUUGUGGGGUGGAAAGCCUUGUGCGGCUAGGGAGUGGGCCC
rnacentral:rRNA from 1 species